GUGUCUUUAUAUUUAAAGUGGGUUUGGUUUUUGAUUCACCCUGCUGGCUGCUGGGGGCUUCUGGGGCAGGCGUGGCCUGCCACCGCAGGACCCACCGAGGGUCAUAGGCUGGGCUUAGCUCAGCUUGAACUUGAUCCUCGGGCAGCCCGCCCGGGGCGCACUGCAGCAGCAGAGACACCUCAGGGUCCAUGGUCUGGACAGGGCAGCUCUGGGGAAGGUCACAGCCAGGCCUAUCACCCUGGGGGACCUAGAGCCACCCACAGACCUACUGAGGAUCCCCCCAGCCCUUUGCACCCCCGCUGGACAGUUAAGGGUCUUAUCAUCCAGCAGGUGCCCCAGACUCCAGCUGCCAGAUGUCCCAGGGACUCCCGGGCACCCCUAUCACCCAAGGCCCUGGGUCCAGUCCCCCCUAAUGUCCACGUCUCCCAAACCCAAGGGCCAGGGACCCUCCUAGGGUGCAGAAGCUCCAGCCUCCAGCCGGUACUCACUGCCACUUUGGCCCGCAGACCCCGCCCCUUUCCCCAAGCGGAAGUGCCAGCCUCUUCUGCCCUGGCUUCUCAUUGGCCAAUUUCAGGGCUGGGAGCCCGCAGUGCGGCUGCUCCGCCUGGGGAGUCGGUUUUGGCCGUGAACUCUGGAGAGAGGAAGCUGGAAGCAGCAGGGCCCAGAGGCAGAAGAGCCCGCAGACCCCAGAAACAGAAAGAAAGAGGAAAGAAAGAAAAAGAAAGA